GACGAACGCUGGCGGCGUGCCUAAUACAUGCAAGUCGAACGCAGUGGGGACGGGUGAGUAACACGUGGGUAACCUCCCAUCAGAGGGGAUAACACUUGGAAACAGGUGCUAAACCGAUACUGAUGGAUGGACCCGCGGUGCAUUAGCUAGUUGGUGAGGUAACGGCUCACCAAGGCCACGAGGCAUAGCAGACCUGAGAGGGGUAUCGGCCACACGGGGACUGAGAGACGAACCGGACUCCGCCGGGAGGCAGCAGUAGGGAAUCUUCGGCAAUGGAAGAAAGUCUGACCGAGCAACGCGGCGUGAGUGAAGAAGGUUUUCGGAUCGUAAAACUCUGUUGUUAGAGAAGAGGUAUCUAACCAGAAAGCCACGGCUAAAUACGUGCCAGCAGCCGCGGUAAUUC
rnacentral:rRNA from 1 species